UUGGCGGACGGGUGAGAAACACGUGGGAAUCUACCCCAAACUGAGGGAUAAGCAUCGGAAACGGUGUCUAAUACCGCAUAUGGUCUUCGGAUUAAAGCUUCGGCGGUUUGGGAAGAGCCCGCGCAAGAUUAGCUAGUUGGUGAGGUAAUAGCUCACCAAGGCUACGAUCUUUAGCUGGUUUGAGAGGAUGAUCAGCCGCACUGGAACUGAGACACGGUCCAGACUCCUACGGGAGGCAGCAGUUAGGAAUUUUCCACAAUGGGCGCAAGCCUGAUGGAGCAACGCCGCGUGCAGGAUGAAGGUUUUCGGAUCGUAAACAGCUUUUGUAUACGAAGAAUAUGACGGUAAUAUACGAAUAAGGGUCGGCUAACUACGUGCCAGCAGCCGCGGUAAU
rnacentral:rRNA from 1 species